rnacentral:rRNA from 1 species
AGAGUUUGAUCCUGGCUCAGAUUGAACGCUGGCGGCAUGCCUUACACAUGCAAGUCGAACGGCAGCACGGGAGCAAUCCUGGUGGCGAGUGGCGAACGGGUGAGUAAUAUAUCGGAACGUGCCCAGUAGUGGGGGAUAGCCCGGCGAAAGCCGGAUUAAUACCGCAUGAGACCUGAGGGUGAAAGCGGGGGAUCGCAAGACCUCGCGCUACUGGAGCGGCCGAUAUCAGAUUAGCUAGUUGGUGGGGUAAAGGCCUACCAAGGCAACGAUCUGUAGUUGGUCUGAGAGGACGACCAGCCACACUGGGACUGAGACACGGCCCAGACUCCUACGGGAGGCAGCAGUGGGGAAUUUUGGACA